GUAAUCCCACUCUGUGACUCCGGACCAUUCCAGUUUUUCCCUUUGACGAAGGAGCAUAUCUUGUGAAAACUCUUUGAAAACUACUUUUCACCAAACCUUCAACAUGAAAUUUACGUGGUUUUUCUUCGCCUUGUUGGCCUUAUUCGGCAUGGUCAAGGCUGGAAAGGGGGCUGGUGAGCUGUGUUCGGUUGAUUGGAAUCCUUUCUCUUCAGGAGAGUGUAGCGGAAAUCUGUUUUGUGCCCCCUGCCUUGUCGACGCCUGCGAGGAGAAAAAAGGACAAAAUAUUUGCCAGUAAUAUUUGUAUUAAAUAUUUGUAACUAAAUUAAGACAAAUUAUACAUAUUUAUUUAUUGUAAUUUUUCGAAAAGUUUGAUUCAAAUACAAGUUGUGUUUUUUACUAAAAUUCCA